UUUAUUUGAAUAUGAUGUGUCUCAUGAUCUAUCUGAGUUGGACUUAGAUUUUGCUUGGUUGUGUCAGCUUAUCAGUUUUUCUAUUGAUGUGAAGGAUGUUUUUGUGUUCUAGAUAGUUAUGGUAUGCAUUUUGGAUGUCAAGGUGAUUGUGGGUUGAAAUGGAGCGGUGUGAGAGCCGCUUGUUCUUUCCAUUUCAAUGUUUUAUAGCUUUUGGUGCGUUUUAAGUGUUGUUAUUGUACGAAGUGGUUUGAUUUUCGAUUGCUUUGAUUUGUUCUUCCCUGUUGCUGGGUUAGUGAUUGUUUGAUAACCCCCCAAUUAUUA
rnacentral:lncRNA from 1 species